rnacentral:rRNA from 1 species
GACGAACGCUGGCGGCGUGCUUAACACAUGCAAGUCGAACGAUGAAGAAAAGAAUCGAAGCUUCGGCAGAAAUUCAUUUCGGAUUAGUGGCAGACGGGUGAGUAACGCGUGAGCAACCUACCUCUUACAAAGGGAUAGCCUCGGGAAACCGGGAUUAAUACCAUAUAACAUUGCGACGAAGCAUUUCGAUGCAAUCAAAGCUACGGCGGUAAGAGAUGGGCUCGCGUCCCAUUAACCGGAUGGUGAGGUAACGGCUCACCAUAGUGACGAUGGGUAACCGGACUGAGAGGGUGAACGGUCACACUGGAACUGAGACACGGUCCAGACUCCUACGGGAGGCAGCAGUGGGGAAUAUUGCACAAUGGAGGGAACUCUGAUGCAGCGACGCCGCGUGAGUGAUGAAGGAAUUCGUUUCGUAAAACUCUGUUCUAUGGGAAGAAAAGGACUGUACCAUAGGAGAAAGCGCCGGCUAAAUACGUG